rnacentral:rRNA from 1 species
UGGGGAAUAUUGCACAAUGGGCGCAAGCCUGAUGCAGCCAUGCCGCGUGUAUGAAGAAGGCCUUCGGGUUGUAAAGUACUUUCAGCGAGGAGGAAGGCGUUGUGGUUAAUAACCGCAACGAUUGACGUUACUCGCAGAAGAAGCACCGGCUAACUCCGUGCCAGCAGCCGCGGUAAUACGGAGGGUGCAAGCGUUAAUCGGAAUUACUGGGCGUAAAGCGCAAGCAGGCGGUCUGUCAAGUCGGAUGUGAAGUCCCCGGGCUCAACCUGGGAACUGCAUCCGAAACUGGCAGGCUAGAGUCUUGUAGAGGGGGGUAGAAUUCCAGGUGUAGCGGUGAAAUGCGUAGAGAUCUGGAGGAAUACCGGUGGCGAAGGCGGCCCCCUGGACAAAGACUGACGCUCAGGUGCGAAAGCGUGGGGAGCAAACA